AUUCCAGCUCCAAUAGCGUAUAUUAAAGUUGUUGCAGUUAAAAAGCUCGUAGUUGAACCUUGGACAAAGUGCGCGUGGUCUACCGCAAGGUACGACUGCGGCGCUGCGUCUCUUUAGGGGGACUCGAUGCUUCGGUGUCGAGGUAACCCGUGUUACUGUGAAGAAAUUAGAGUGUUUAAAGCAGGCUAUCGCUUGAAUACAUCAGCAUGGAAUAACAAGUUGGACUUUGCUCCUACUUGUUGGUUUGAGGGGAAAAGUAAUGAUUAAUAGGGCCAGUUGGGGGCAUUAGUAUUCAGUAGUCAGAGGUGAAAUUCUUGGAUUUACUGAAGACUAACUAGUGCGAAAGCAUCUGCCAAGGAUGUUUUCAUUA
rnacentral:rRNA from 1 species